UUAAUGAGAGUUUGAUCCUGGCUCAGGACGAACGCUGGCGGCGUGCCUAAUACAUGCAAGUAGAACGCUGAGGACUGGUGCUUGCACCGGUCCAAGGAGUUGCGAACGGGUGAGUAACGCGUAGGUAACCUACCUCAUAGCGGGGGAUAACUAUUGGAAACGAUAGCUAAUACCGCAUAAAAGUGUUUAACCCAUGUUAAACAUUUAAAAGGUGCAACUGCAUCACUAUGAGAUGGACCUGCGUUGUAUUAGCUAGUUGGUGAGGUAACGGCUCACCAAGGCGACGAUACAUAGCCGACCUGAGAGGGUGAUCGGCCACACUGGGACUGAGACACGGCCCAGACUCCUAC
rnacentral:rRNA from 1 species